GGGCUUAUAGUUUAAUGGUAGAACCCGUCGCUCAUAACGACGUCGUUGUAGGUUCGAAUCCUACUAAGCCCA
rnacentral:tRNA from 1 species